CCUUCUCUCUUUCUACAAUAUUGGAGGUUAGGGUUUCUGGGUGCGUCUAUUUUGAAUCAAUUCGAUGUGUGUGCGUCUUCAACAACAACAAAUUCGAAUCAAUUUCGAACCAAAAAUCAGAAAUUCAAGGUUAGGGUUUUUGGGUUAUUUAGCUUUGCGUUAUAUUGUAGCAGUUCUGAGCUUUCUCCUCCAUUGAAACAACUUCUGAGAUAUUGGCAUACUUGCUACUGUCAUCAGCUUCUUCGGCCAUACCUAUGACAAACAGAAUGUGGGAAGGAGGAGGAAUUUUAGUUAGCUUUGUUCACAAACAAGAAGAACAAGAAUCUUUUUUGCUAAUCGGGCAAUUAUUGAUGCUGCUGCGUAUGUCCCACCAGCACCUACAGAAGCACAAAAGAAGAAAAUAGCUCAAUUGUCUGCCAAGUCAGAGCAGAAACAAUUGCAGAACAAAAAAGUCUUGUCCAAAAAGAAGUCCCUUCGUCGAAGUAAAGGUAGCUGGGACUAAAACAGUGAGCUGAGAUCCCACUUUUUCUUCAUGAAUUAAAGAUGCCUUAGCUAGGUCAUUAAGAUUACUUGUUUUUGUAAUGCCGUGCAUUAUUUAAUAUCUUUAAUAUGCAUCAUGCAGACUAGUAGGCUGUAACACUCAACAGUAGGCAGCACUAAAACAGUCUGCAAGCUCUUGGCCCCUACCUACAAAGAUAUUUGGAUAAUGAUAUACUUGUUUUUGUAA